CAGCUUGGUGAGUAUAUAACCCCUUAAAGUCACUGUGUCUAUACAACUUUCUUGCAUCUCCCAGGUCAUGGCAAUCUUUGCUCUCCACUCCCACGUCCCCCACAGCAUUGGAGUGACAGGCUUACUCCCAUCCUAAGUUAGUGAAGAAGAACAGCCGAGACUACUGUGAUAUGGGCAAACUUCUGCUGACGUGUGCACCUCAGCCACUCAGUAGCUUGCUCACUGGUGGCAUUAUCACGAUUUCUACUGCAAACCUUCAACCAAAGCCUCCUCCUCCCCUGCUACUUCCCACAGACAACUCUGAACAGGCUGUGGGCAGCACUACUUCCUUCUACCUGAGGGCAGAACACAUAUGAGAGGGAAGCAAAAUGGCAGGAUCCAGGAGAGGGAGCAACCAGAGCGGUGAGUACCCAGGGUAAAACCAGGAAAUGCCUACCCACAAGACCCACAGAAAAAGCAAUGGGGCACACAUGCUCCUACAUGGAAUUCCUGGAUGCAAGGCUUCACCAAGAAUUUUUCCUCUCUGAUGGCCAAUGGCUCCAGGCGUUUCCCUGUCUCUUCUUCCAGGAGCAACGGCUGUUUAUUAUUCCUCAUGCCCACUCCCCAUGACCAAACAA